CGGGGGGGGCAAGCGUUGUUCGGAAUUACGUGGGCGUAAAGGGUUCGUAGGCGGCCAACUAAGUCAGACGUGAAAUCCCCAGGCUCAACCUGGGAACUGCGUCUGAUACUGGAUGGCUUGAAUCCGGGAGAGGGAUGCAGAAUUCCAGGUGUAGCGGUGAAAUGCGUAGAUAUCUGGAGGAAUACCGGUGGCGAAGGCGGCAUCCUGGACCGGCAUUGACGCUGAGGAGCGAAAGCCAGGGGAGCAAACGGGAUUAGAUACCCCGGUAGUCCUGGCCCUAAACGAUGAAUGCUUGGUGUAACGGGUAUCGAUCCCUGUUGUGCCGAAGCUAACGCAUUAAGCAUUCCGCCUGGGGAGUACGGUCGCAAGGCUG
rnacentral:rRNA from 1 species